UCACCAGAAUCCUUGGUGGUAUUGCCUACUUUUCACCCUUGUUGUGAUAUAUGUUAUUAUUCUUUAUCUGACAUAUUUUUGUACAAUUUGGGAUGACUGUAUUGAUUGUAAUGUGUGAAUUGCUUGAUAUACAAUUGCUGUUUGCUUUGGUGAUCUGUGAGAUGAGUUCUAUACCCGAACUCGAGUGCACUCUAGGAUAGGAGAAUGGCAUAGUCUUGUUGACUGGUGUGGAGUAGUCCUUAGCCAGUUGACUUGCGAG
rnacentral:lncRNA from 1 species